AACGAACGCUGGCGGCAUGCCUAACACAUGCAAGUCGAACGAGAUCUUCGGGUCUAGUGGCGCACGGGUGCGUAACGCGUGGGAAUCUGCCCUUUGGUUCGGAAUAACAGUUGGAAACGACUGCUAAUACCGGAUGAUGACGAAAGUCCAAAGAUUUAUCGCCAGAGGAUGAGCCCGCGUAGGAUUAGCUAGUUGGUGUGGUAAAGGCGCACCAAGGCGACGAUCCUUAGCUGGUCUGAGAGGAUGAUCAGCCACACUGGGACUGAGACUCGGCCCAGACUCCUACGGGAGGCAGCAGUGGGGAAUAUUGGACAAUGGGCGAAAGCCUGAUCCAGCAAUGCCGCGUGAGUGGUGAAGGCCUUAGGGUUGUAAAGCUCUUUUACCCGGGAUGAUAAUGACAGUACCGGGAGAAUAAGCUCCGGCUAACUCCGUGCCAGCCGCCGCGGUAAGAC
rnacentral:rRNA from 1 species